GGAAUGGUGAGGUUGCCGCAUGUUUCUCUGCAGCCAGGCCUGGCCAUCCUAGACGCUGUGCUGCUGUUGAUGGAUGCUAGUAGCAGGGUGGCUGCAAAGAUUAGCCACGGAUUGUAUUGCGUCCAGCAAUUGCAGAGACCGAGUCAAAGAACCAGUUUGAUGACCCAAGUGGCCAAAUGUGGAAUCGCAAUUUGGAACCUACAAAAAGAAAUGGCUACAGAUGGGAGAUUUUGGCCAGCAGAGGAGUCAGGUGGAGCCGGCAAUGGACUCGGCCUAUUGAAAAGAACACGGCCAGAUUUUGUGGGAGUUGAAAACGUUGGUCAAUCUGAUUUUUUUGGCAGUGUGGCUAUAAAAGUUAAUGCGCUCGGACAGUGGCCAAGCGAGACCAGAGCAAAUGGAAGAACGGUGUCUGCCUUGUUCGUGUUUUUUUUUUUUUUUGAGGGGGUGAAACUUUAGUCACAAUAACUAGUUUUGUUUUUUUUUGGAAAAUUUAAUGGCUAGUUUGGCUUCUGGCGUGGAUGCAUUCACACCCCAAUAUAAAAUAAAAGUAAAACAUGUAUUAUAUGGCUUCUGGCCUCUGUAGCAAGUUUCUAUUCUGUUAUUAUAUGGGUGCUCUAUCU